CAGGCCUAACACAUGCAAGUCGAGCGGUAGCACAGAGAGCUUGCUCUCGGGUGACGAGCGGCGGACGGGUGAGUAAUGUCUGGGAAACUGCCUGAUGGAGGGGGAUAACUACUGGAAACGGUAGCUAAUACCGCAUAAUGUCGCAAGACCAAAGUGGGGGACCUUCGGGCCUCAUGCCAUCAGAUGUGCCCAGAUGGGAUUAGCUAGUAGGUGGGGUAACGGCUCACCUAGGCGACGAUCCCUAGCUGGUCUGAGAGGAUGACCAGCCACACUGGAACUGAGACACGGUCCAGACUCCUACGGGAGGCAGCAGUGGGGAAUAUUGCACAAUGGGCGCAAGCCUGAUGCAGCCAUGCCGCGUGUGUGAAGAAGGCCUUCGGGUUGUAAAGCACUUUCGGCGGGGAGGAAGGCGUUAAGGUUAAUAACCUUGGCGAUUGACGUUACCCGCAGAAGAAGCACCGGCUAACUCCGUGCCAGCAGCCGCGGUAAUACGGAGGGUGCAAGCGUUAAUCGGAAUUACUGGGCGUAAAGCGCACGCAGGCGGUCUGUCAAGUCGGAUGUGAAAUCCCCGGGCUCAACCUGGGAACUGCAUUCGAAACUGGCAGGCUAGAGUCUUGUAGAGGGGGGUAGAAUUCCAGGUGUAGCGGUGAAAUGCGUAGAGAUCUGGAGGAAUACCGGUGGCGAAGGCGGCCCCCUGGACAAAGACUGACGCUCAGGUGCGAAAGCGUGGGGAGCAAACAGGAUUAGAUACCCUGGUAGUCCACGCCGUAAACGAUGUCGAUUUGGAGGUUGUGCCCUUGAGGCGUGGCUUCCGGAGCUAACGCGUUAAAUCGACCGCCUGGGGAGUACGGCCGCAAGGUUAAAACUCAAAUGAAUUGACGGGGGCCCGCACAAGCGGUGGAGCAUGUGGUUUAAUUCGAUGCAACGCGAAGAACCUUACCUGGUCUUGACAUCCACAGAACUUUCCAGAGAUGGAUUGGUGCCUUCGGGAACUGUGAGACAGGUGCUGCAUGGCUGUCGUCAGCUCGUGUUGUGAAAUGUUGGGUUAAGUCCCGCAACGAGCGCAACCCUUAUCCUUUGUUGCCAGCGGUUCGGCCGGGAACUCAAAGGAGACUGCCAGUGAUAAACUGGAGGAAGGUGGGGAUGACGUCAAGUCAUCAUGGCCCUUACGACCAGGGCUACACACGUGCUACAAUGGCAUAUACAAAGAGAAGCGACCUCGCGAGAGCAAGCGGACCUCAUAAAGUAUGUCGUAGUCCGGAUUGGAGUCUGCAACUCGACUCCAUGAAGUCGGAAUCGCUAGUAAUCGUAGAUCAGAAUGCUACGGUGAAUACGUUCCCGGGCCUUGUACACACCGCCCGUCACACCAUGGGAGUGGGUUGCAAAAGAAGCAGGUAGCUUAACCUUCGGGAGGGCGCUUACCACUUUGUGAUUCAUGACUGGGGUGAAGUC
rnacentral:rRNA from 1 species